rnacentral:rRNA from 1 species
CCUACGGGUGGCAGCAGUGAGGAAUAUUGGUCAAUGGACGAGAGUCUGAACCAGCCAAGUAUCGUGAAGGAUGACUGCCCUAUGGGUUGUAAACUUCUUUUAUAUGGGAAUAAAACGUUCCACGUGUGGGAUUUUGUAUGUACCAUAUGAAUAAGGAUCGGCUAACUCCGUGCCAGCAGCCGCGGUAAUACGGAGGAUCCGAGCGUUAUCCGGAUUUAUUGGGUUUAAAGGGAGCGUAGGUGGAUUGUUAAGUCAGUUGUGAAAGUUUGCGGCUCAACCGUAAAAUUGCAGUUGAAACUGGCAGUCUUGAGUACAGUAGAGGUGGGCGGAAUUCGUGGUGUAGCGGUGAAAUGCUUAGAUAUCACGAAGAACUCCGAUUGCGAAGGCAGUUCACUGGACUGCAACUGACACUGAGGCUCGAAAGUGUGGGUAUCAAACAGGAUUAGAUACCCUUGUAGUC